UACGGGGGGGGCAAGCGUUGUUCGGAAUUACUGGGCGUAAAGGGCGCGUAGGCGGCUUAUCAAGUCAGGCGUGAAAUUCCCGGGCUCAACCUGGGGGCUGCGCUUGAUACUGAUGAGCUUGAAUGCGGGAGAGGAUAGUGGAAUUCCCAGUGUAGAGGUGAAAUUCGUAGAUAUUGGGAAGAACACCGGUGGCGAAGGCGGCUCACUGGCUCGUAUCUGACGCUCAGGCGCGACAGCGCGGGGAUCAAACAGG
rnacentral:rRNA from 1 species